CGUCAGCUUACCCUGCAAAGGCCAAACAGUAAGCAAAACGGGCACAGCCCAAAACGUCAGGCCGAGGUGUAGCGUACGAGGUGGGAAGAAAUGGGCUACAUUUUCUACAAUAGAAUAUUUUACAAACGGCGCCCUGAAACUACGUGCCCGAAGGUGGAUUUAGUAGUAAAAAGCAAAUAGAGAGUCCUUUUGAACUAGGCUCUGGAGCGCGCACACACCGCCCGUCACCCUCCCCUCUUACAAUAACAAAAGCUAUAUAACACAACCUCUUACACCAAGGGGAGGCAAGUCGUAACAUGG
rnacentral:rRNA from 1 species